rnacentral:rRNA from 1 species
AAAUUGAAGAGUUUGAUCAUGGCUCAGAUUGAACGUUGGCGGCAGGCCUAAGACAUGCAAGUCGAGCGGUAACAGAUCUAGCUUGCUAGAUGCUGACGAGCGGCGGACGGGUGAGUAACGCGUAGGAAUCUAUCCAGUAGCGGGGGAUGCCCGGGGAAGAUUAAUACCGCAUACGCCCCACGGGGGAAAGGCCGGGAUCUUCGGACCGGUCACUAUUGGAGGAGCCUGCGUUAGAUUAGCUAGUUGGUAGGGUAAAAGCCUACCAAGGCAACGAUCUAUAGCUGUUCUGAGAGGAAGAUCAGCCACACUGGAACUGAGACACGGUCCAGACUCCUACGGGAGGCAGCAGUCGGGAAUAUUGUGCAAUGGGGGAAACCCUGAUGCAGCCAUGCCGCGUGUGUGAAGAAGGCCUUCGGGUUGUAAAGCACUUUCAGUUGUGAGGAAAGGGUAGCGGUUAAUACCCGUUAUCUGUGACGUUAGCAACAGAAGAAGCACCGGCUAACUCCGUGCCAGCAGCCGCGGUAAUACGGAGGGUGCGAGCGUUGAUCGGAAUUACUGGGCGUAAAGCGCACGCAGGCGGUUUGUUAAGCUAGAUGUGAAAGCCCCGGGCUCAACCUGGGAAUAGCAUUUAGAACUGGCAGGCUAGAGUCUUGGAGAGGGGAGUGGAAUUCCAGGUGUAGCGGUGAAAUGCGUAGAUAUCUGGAGGAACAUCAGUGGCGAAGGCGACUCCCUGGCCAAAGACUGACGCUCAUGUGCGAAAGUGUGGGUAGCGAACAGGCUUACAUACCCUGGUCGUCCACACCGUAAACGAUGUCUCCUAGCUGUUUGUGGAUUUAAUCCGUGAGUAGCUAAGCUAACGCGAUAAGUAGACCGCCUGGGGAGUACGGCCGCAAGGUUAAAACUCAAAUGAAUUGACGGGGGCCCGCACAAGCGGUGGAGCAUGUGGUUUAAUUCGAUGCAACGCGAAGAACCUUACCUACUCUUGACAUACAAGGAACAUUGCAGAGAUGCAUUGGUGCCUUCGGGAACAUUGAGACAGGUGCUGCAUGGCUGUCGUCAGCUCGUGUCGUGAGAUGUUGGGUUAAGUCCCGCAACGAGCGCAACCCUUGUCCUUAGUUGCCAUCCUUUAGUUGGGCACUCUAAGGAGACUGCCGGCGACAAACCGGAUGAAGGUGAGGACGACGUCAAGUCAUCAUGGCCCUUACGAGUAGGGCUACACACGUGCUACAAUGGCGAGUACAGAGGGAAGCGAGACAGUGAUGUGGAGCGGACCCCUUAAAGCUCGUCGUAGUCCGGAUCGGAGUCUGCAACUCGACUCCGUGAAGUCGGAAUCGCUAGUAAUCGCAAAUCAGAAUGUUGCGGUGAAUACGUUCCCGGGCCUUGUACACACCGCCCGUCACACCAUGGGAGUGGGUUGCAAAAGAAGUAGUUAGUCUAACCUUCGGGAGGACGAUUACCACUUUGUGAAUCAUGACUGGGGUGAAGUCGUAACAAGGUAACCCUAGGGGAACCUGGGGUUGGAUCACCUCCUUA